rnacentral:rRNA from 1 species
UCGGGGCGCAGCAGGCGCGAAAACUUUACAAUGCCGGCAACGGCGAUAAGGGAACCUCGAGUGCCAGGUUACAAAUCUGGCUGUCGUGAUGCCUAAAAAGCAUUGCAUAGCAAGGGCCGGGCAAGACCGGUGCCAGCCGCCGCGGUAACACCGGCGGCUCGAGUGGUAACCGUUAUUAUUGGGUCUAAAGGGUCUGUAGCCGGCCGGGUAAGUCUCUUGGGAAAUCUGGCAGCUUAACUGUCAGGCUUUCAGGAGAUACUGCCUGGCUCGAGGCCGGGAGAGGUGAGAGGUACUUCAGGGGUAGGGGUGAAAUCUUGUAAUCCUUGAAGGACCACCAGUGGCGAAGGCGUCUCACCAGAGCGGACCUGACGGCAAGGGACGAAAGCUAGGGGCACGAACCGGAUUAGAUACCCGGGUAGUCCUAGCCGUAAACGAUACUCGCUAGGUGUCGGCCACGGUGCGACCGUGGUCGGUGCCGUAGGGAAGCCGUGAAGCGAGCCACCUGGGAAGUACGGCCGCAAGGCUGAAACUUAAAGGAAUUGGCGGGGGAGCAC